UUGUUAACGAAAUAUAAUUUAUCUAACAGGUUUAAUAUUGAAUAAAUGAUGAUGGCCAAUAGAAACAGCUUUUUUUUUUUUGUAUUAAUUUAUUCAUUUUAUUCCAUUUGUAUUACAUAUUAUUAUAAUAAUUAUUUGAAAACGAUAAAAAAAAUUAUCAAUAAUAUAACAGAAAGUCAAUAAACAAUACAAACAACUAACAGAAAUAAAAUUAAUAAGUAUACCCACUUAUUAUUUUAAUUGUAAUUAUCAUUUUCGUAGCACACUGUGUACAUUUUAAAAUUAUAAUAUUAUUAUCAAUAAAUGUAAAACUUGUGAUUACGUUCGUAUUGCAGAUAGUCGGUUACGGAAUUAAUUGCACUGCUUAAAGAAUUAAUAAAAUAAAAACUUGUAUAUAUCCUUCAAUUGCAUAAUUUGUGCACAAAUCAUUCAUAUUAAAACUAAAAAAAAUGAGUUUAAAAAAACCUUAAAAAUUGAUCAUUUACUAGAGAUUACGAACAAUAAUGAAUAAAAUAAAUAAAAACCGUACAUACUACAUAAGCGCCUCAAAUAAUAACAUUCUGCUUAUACAUAUCUUCAAUCCUUUUACGGAUCAUCGAUGCAAUAAUUAACGAAACUUUAACGAUAUCGCAACAUUGUUUUUUUUUUUUUUAUAUGUGGGCUGAAUCUGAUAGCUAUUGUCUUUAUCGGUUAGUUGGGGAGGUGAAUAUGGACACCGAAAAUAUUAGAAUACCAGAAUCCAUGAAUGUUUAACCGCCAAUCGCCUUAUUCCGUUUAUUUAAGCUCUAAUAUUAUCAAGAAAUAACCGGUAUAUAAUCUAUGCAUUUUUGUACUACAACAUAUUUGUAUUAUUAAAAAAAUGAACUAUUAUACUCUUAGUCAUCUAAGCAUGUCGUUAAUUAAUAUUAUUGUGUUGUAUCUACAAACUUAUGGAUUUAUUAUUUUGGAAAAAUAGAAUACAAUAAUAUUAUGUUUGAAGUUUCUAAAAUUGUAUACGAAAAUAUUCAAUAAAAUAAAAUAGUGGUGAUUAAAAUAAUAUUAAAUAUGAUAUGAAGACUGUUAUUGAUAUAUAUAUAUAUUUUGAAUGAAUGUUUUCAUUACAUGCAAAUAUUGUUCUACGCGGGAAUCGCAGUAGGCCUCGUGGUUAAUUUUUAUCUUGUUUGUCAACGAUGACUAGGAAACAGAUUUUUAUACACUUAAGAAUCAACAAAAAGGACUUAAAGCACUUAAAAAAAUAUUUUAAACGACAAAAAUAUUAGAGCAGUUUAUAAUAUUUUUUAAGUUAUUUUCAGAGCUUUUUCUACGUUUUUAAGCUCUAUUCUUUUGUAGGUUUUAAGUGUAUAUAAAUCCGUUCCCUAAUAAUCAAUUUAUUAUUUUAUCGAUUUUUUUUUUUUUUGUUUUCUAAAACCAUCGUAAAUCGAAAAUUUUCGGCUACACUCUACAAU